CAUUUACUGCGCUCCAACCCCGCCGCGGACGUGCCAGCACUAACACUGACAGCGGUCGCAGCAACGGCAGCAACAGCGACGGCAGCAGCAGCGCCAGACCCGGAUAUGAGGAAACUGAGCCUAAGAGGGCCAUACAACUAGUAACUAUCUGAGGCAGAAUUUGAACUCAUCUCUUCCUGACUCCAAGUCCAGUACUCCAGCCAUUGUGCCAUCUUUAUAUAUUACAGAAUAAUAAAGUGGAGGAAUUCCAUGGAGACUGGAACAACCUCCAGGAAUUGAUGCAGAGCAAAAGGAGCAGAACCAGGAGAACAUUGUACACAGAGACUGAUACACUGUGGUACAAUAGAAGGUAAUGGACUUCUCCACUAGUGGCAAUGUAGUGAUCCUGAACAGCUUGGAGGGAUCUAUGAGAAAGAACACUAUCCACAUUCAGAGGAAGACGUGUGGGACCAGAAACACAGAAGAAAAACAACUGCUUGAUUACAUGGGUCAAGGGGAUAUGGUUGGGGAUGUAGACUCUAAAUGAUCAUCCUAUUGCAAACAUCAACAACAUGGAAAUAGGUUUUGAAUAAGGUCACAUGUAUUACCCAGUGGAAUUGUGCAUCAGCUACAGGAGGGGGAGGGGGAGGGAAGGGAGGGAAAGAAAGAAUAUGAUUCUUGUAACCAAAGAAUAACGUUCUAAAUUGACUAAAUAAAAAAAUAAAUUAAAAAAAAAUUUAAGUGCUGUGCUAGGAGCUAAGGGAGAUACAGUUGUUAAAUCACAGGCCCUGCCUUCAUGGAAUUUAAUUAAUUAAUUAAUUGGGGACCUUAUUGCUCUAUUAUUAACCUAUUAGUAAGCAGUCCAUUGGCAUAUUUCAGUGGAUAGAACAUCAAAGGGUUAUUGUGAAGAAUAAAUUAGAUAAGCCAAAGUUUUUAAUCAACUCUGCAGAAGUAAGUCACUCUUAUUAUUGACUGUGGUUCUGAAAGUACUUUCCCCUGGAUGCCACAUUUCAUAUAGAAGAGGCCACCAAACAACUCAUUUCAUGUCCAAUUUUAGAAUAAAAUGGAACCUGUUCCCCAUUUCUGUGGAAAAAUGAACAAAUGAAUGAUCAAGUUAAGGAAAAAGUAUAAGUAACCCUUCCACACUUGACUUUCUCCAUCUUGGUUUAGAUAUAUCAUUUAGAUAAAUCACAUGUUGGCAUAAGGAACUAAAUGGGAAUUUGGGGGGGAUUUUUCAGAAGCCACAGAAGCCACACAAAAGCCAGUAGAUAACACAGAAAAAAUUUAGAAACCCAGAAAAGCAUAAAAUAGCCUAUGACCAAAUACUUAACCCAAAUAUAUAAUAAAGACAUAGUAAAAAAAAGUACCAGUUGGUAUGGUGGAAGAGGAAAGCAAAGGAAAUCAUAGGGCUGUUUUCUUUGGUAUAUGGAGAAUCUGAAUUGCAGAGGCUGUGAAGCAAGAGGUCGAAAUGAUGUUAGCCAUGAGGCUAGGAAAGGGGAAGUAUCAAGUACAGGAGGGCUGGACAGUGAUGGUAACAACAGCUAGGAAAUCUCAUGGUUAAAAAGGACUAACAAUUGCCAUAUCUUAGUUGCUAUCUUCAGAUGUAACCCUCUUAAUCACAUGGAGCAAGUGUCAAGAAGGCUCAUGGUAUAAAAGGAUGAGAAAAUCUGUCUCUAUCUGCUUCUAUAACAGUGAUUCGUAUUUCCAGUUGUCAUUGUUAACCAUUCCCAAUAUUCAAUUGCUUAAAUGCAACCACUCAAAUACAAUGCAUCAUUAAUGUUCUAAUGUCAAUGCUUUAUUCCUCCAUUAGCAAAAGGAUCAUAUUACCUAAAGAAUCAUAUAGGCAUCGUAAUAAAAAAAAAAAGGAUUCCUUUUGUCUCUUAUUAAUAAGUGUAGGGGGCAGCUGUGUAGCUCAGUGGAUUGAGAGCCAGGCCUAGAGACGGGAGGUCCUAGGUUCAAAUCUGGCCUCAGACACUUCCCAGCUGUGUGACCCUGGGCAAGUCACUUGACCCCCAUUGCCUAGCCCUUACCACUCUUCUGCCUUGGAGCCAAUACACAGUAUUGACUCCAAGACGGAAGGUAAGGGUUUUAUAAAAAAUAAAAAUAAAAAAAUAAGUGUACAUUUAAUUCAUUUCCCAAAAAUACAAAAGUGUUUCUAUGAUUUAGGAGUGCUAAAAGUUGGUAGGGAAGUAUAAAAUUAUUGUUUGACCUUAACUGAUGUAAUGUCUGGUCUCUAUAAUUCUAGACUCCUUUCUUAUGUGUAUAAGAUCAGGUCUCAGAAACUUUCCUAGCAAUCAUUUAGCCUCUAACUGCCUCAGUUUCCUGUAAAAUGAGAAAAAAUAGUAACACCUACUUUACAGAAUUGUUGUGAGGGAGCAUCUGGGUGGCUCAGUGGAUUGAGAACCAGGCCUAGAGACAGGAGGUACUACGUUCAAAUCUGGCCUCUGACACUUCCCAGCUGUGUGACCCUGGGCAAGUCAUUUAACCCCCAUUGCCUAGCCCUUACCACUCUUCUACCUAGGAGCCAAUACACAGCAUUGACUCCAAGACAGAAGGUAAGUGUUUAAAAAAAAAAAAGAAUUGUUGUGAGGAUCAAAUGAGAUAACAGUUACAAAGUGCUUAGCAUAGUACCUAUCACAUAUUAAGUACAAUAUGAAGGAUAACUAUUAUUAUAAUGAUGAUUAUAAUAUGCUUUUGCUUCCUAGAAUUUUGUGGCUCCACAAGCUCAUUGUGAAAAAUAAAAAUGAAGAAGAAUUGCUUGUUAUAGAGUAUAUACAUGCAAGUACACAUUUAUACAAGCUAUAUUAAAAAACAAGGUCUUUUCUCCUUGUUAGAUGUUUGCGUAUUAGAAGUUUAUUCCUUAUUCUCCAUGGAAUCUGUUAGCAUUCCUAUUUGGACUCCCAAGAGUUUUUUUAAAAAGCCAUAAGCCCCAAACCUUACUUGAGAGAACAAUACAAGACCAUUCUUCUAGUACAUGACAGAUAAUAGGCACCUGAAAGUGUUAAUUAUCUCUUGCUUUUUUGCUUUUUCCUCUAAACAAAACUUAAAAGGUCUCUCUUUUUUACCUAUAAUCACUUGAUAGAUAAAGUAUAGCUCCAUAGCAUUUGGUAUUAUAGAAAAGAUCUCCCUUAUCUCCUUUGUUAAGCUAAUCUUGAAUAAAUCAGAAAGCUUUUGAAUCCCAUACCCUCAUCCCCCCUCAAGUAAUUACUGUACUCAAAGAUACCAAAACUUAGAUCUAGAAGCCUAGAUAGUAGGUAACGUGUUGCUCUUCACUAAUGACUAUCAUGAAACUCCCUAAAAGGAUGAAGCAUUUCUAACACACAUUAGAGAUGACUUUUUCCUAUCCAAAAAGAGAAAACGAUCUCACUUUUCUAAUCUAGGGAACUGCCACAUUAUCUCACCAUUCAUGAUACUGCUGUGCCCUACUCCCACCUUCUGUAUCUGUAAAGAUCAUCUUUCAACAACUUUUUUUGAAACACCUAAGUCUAGGGAAGAAAAUACCAAACCUUUGCCCCAUGAAAGACCUCUGAGAGAUUGCCCCCCUCUCCUUCUGUCUGACACUUUCACCUCAUCUUUAUUGCCAGUAAAGGACCCUUCCAACAAGGGUCCACCAAACCCUCUCUGGGGAGGAAAUCUGCAAUGAUCAGUGCUGAACUGGCUCCUGGGUAGAAGUGCCAACCAGUAUUGCAUUACAGAAAGCCACAGGCUACAGUGGGUCUGCCUUUUGCCACUGCCCAGAGCUCCCUCUUCAGUGGCUGUUCCAGGGGACCCAGCCACUGCCCACUGUGUGCCACUGCUAGAACCUGUGUCUCUGCCCCUUGCCAAGAUCUGUACCUUUGCUUUGCCAGAUAUUGCUACCCCUUGUGUCAUUUCAGGAUAGCUGCCAUUUUGGAGGCCUAAGAUUUUCUGACCUGUUAUGGGAUGGAGUGUAGGCCUGAGCAUCAUUCUCUUGGACCUUCUGGGGCCUGACUCUACUCUAUCUUGGCAUGCCAGGGCUUCCAGUGUUGGCAGAGCUGUAGUUGCUGCUAUCCCAGGACUCUGACUCUAUAGACCUCUGCUCAGAGAAAGUCACAAAUAAAAUAAAUAAAUAAGCAAAAUAAAGUAAAUAAAAAUAAUAAUAGGCAAAAUAAAAAGCAACAGAGCCAAAGACCCUUCUAGGUCAGAAUAGAUGUACUCUAUUCCACAUGGGCAAGUAGUUGCUAUUUCCACUCAUGUUAGGGAAAUGCUCAUGGGCCCUGGGUUCUGUAUGUUUCUAGAGUCCCUAAAUUCAGUCACCAGAGAGAAUUAUAGUUCAUGGUUCACAGUUUGGUGUGAGAGUAGAAACUAUUUAAACUGGUGUGGCAGUCCUGCCUAUCCUCAACUAGUAAAAUGGAGUACAACUGGCACAUUUGACCGUAAAUCUGGUUAUAGAAAUGCCUCUGGGAUCCAGAAGAGACUAUCAUUGUCCCUUCAAGCAAGUACUUCCCACAAUGAUUUGCAUCAAAGAAUUACAAUAAAAUCUAUAGGGCAAAAGUAUACUUGGUCUCUCAAAUUCCAAAUUAAAAAACAAACACAACUCUAUUUAUUCUUCCUUUUCUUUUGUUAAAACCCUUAUCUUCUAUCAGAGUAUCAAUGCUAAGACAGAAAAGCAGUAAGGGCUAGGCAAUUGGGAUAACGUGACAUGUCCAGAGUCACACAAUUAGAAAGAAUUUGAAGCUAUAUUUGAACCCAGAUCCUUCAGAUCUUCCUUCCUUCCCGGCUGUGCUACCUACCUGCCCCCAAAAUGAAUUUAUUCAUAACAGUUGUCAAACAAUAAUAAAAUUCUGCCUUCAUUUGCAUUCUCUCACUGUUAUGGGCCUUCUUGCUAUCUCUAAAUCACUGCCAUCACUGUAUCAUAUACAUUACAGGACUGAAAAGGGUUCAUUCAGGUGCAUUGUUAUUUCCAACAAGCCAUUCAAAACCAAUCAGUUUACACAGGUCUCCCUAGCCACAGUGCAGUGAUAAGGACCAUAAAAACAUUCAGGCCUAGGAGGGGAAGAAGACAACUAGUUUUUCUGCUUUUGUCCCUUUCUGAUGAGGAGAAAAUCUUUUCCAUCUCCAAAAACUCAGUCCCCUCCAGGCUGCUUUGAGGUUAGUAGAACUUUGAGGAGGCUUAAAUUACUAGGUUAGAGGUUCCCACAAAGGGAGAGGGCCUAAAACACAGUUUACUGUGAUUAUCUUCAAAAUUCAGUUCUUAAAGACCCAGAAUAUAUACAUUGUUCACUUCUUGCUGAACAGCCACAAGCAGUUUACUUUCUACUCUCCCAGAAGUUAGGAGUGCCUCACCAUAAGGAUUCACUGUUUCUAGAGGCCACCAAAAGCACUACCUGAAGCAUGAAGCCUAAUCUGAUCUCUCCCUCUGCACUGACCAUCUACUUCAAGGAGAUCAUUCUUUUCCAAUCCUGCAAUACUGAGCCAAUUAUUCCUUACUGGGGCCUGACUCAGGAAAGUUCCCUUGCAGUUUAGAUUCAAUAUUGGAAUAAAAUAAGAUUCCCCUAAGUCAUCCAACAGUUAACAAAAAAGAGAUUUACUUAACCAUGCAAGACUAGUUGAUUCAGGCAAGUGGCAUUCCCUCACCUAAAUUACCCUUUGUGAUCCAUCAGCCAAACCCUCAGAGAAUCCUGGAAUUCUUCUUGACUAUGUAUGCAAGGAAUGAAGAAAUGAUGCCAAAAGUCCGAGUCUUUAGUACCCUGAGUCAACCAAGUUUUGGGGAAUAUCUCAGUAUCAUCUAAGGAAAAAUAUUAAUCUAUAAUUGAGUGGGCUUGGGGGAGGUUGUUAGGGUAUUGUUCCUAUCACAAAAGAAUACAUUCCCAAAUGGCUUUUUAAUACUUCACCAUACUAAUUUAUACUAGGUCAGAAAUAAGUAAAUGGGGAAAAUGAGACAAUUUGUACAAUGAACCAAGGAAAAUUUGAGGCACUUACCUUCUGGUUUUCUAUCUCAAAUUCACUUAUAUUUUGAAUUAUUUGGAGUAGCAUUCCAUAACUUUUCUGAAUGAUUUAAGCCAAGGUCUUUUUUGAAGCAUAAGCAACAUUCUUUCCUAUAUAUUCCAAGGCAUAUCUAUUUCAAACUGAUGUCUUGAGACAUCUAUUUUUAAAGGUAUGUCUUACAAAGUGUGGUUGCAAAUUUAAAGGUGUAGGAACUUAUGUGAAAGCAGCAGCAAAUAACAGCUGAUUAAUGUCAAAUACAGAGUCACAACUAGGAAAGGGCAAACAAUGAUAUGACUCAGGAGGCUCAGUUUAGUGGGUACUGACAGAAUUUGCCAUCCUCCCAAAACCUCGUGCUAGCAAAGGUAGUUAGUUAAAAUAGGAAUCUACUAGAGGGUAGGUUCUUCUGUCUCAUCUUGCCUCCCCCCACUCAGAGGACCAAGUGAGGGCAUUUUUCUUGCCAAUUGCUCCAGGCACAGCACGUGAUACUUGUCCUAGGCAGAAAAAUUGCUGGUUGUGGCUCUGGAGAAAUAUAUAUAUAUAUACAUAUAUAUAUAUAUAUUUGAGACAUAU